rnacentral:rRNA from 1 species
UGAAACAUCUAAGUACCCACAGGAAGAGAAAGAAAUUCGAUUCCCUCAGUAGCGGCGAGCGAACCGGGAAGAGCCCAAACUAAGAAGCUUGCUUCUUAGGGUUGUAGGACUGAAUAUUUGAGUUACCAAGAAAUGAAGUAGUUGAAUAAUCUGGGAAGAUUAGCCAAAGAGAGUGAUAGCCUCGUAAGCGAAACUUCAUUUCCUCAGUUCAGGAUCCUGAGUACGGCGGAACACGUGAAACUCCGUCGGAAUCUGGGAGGACCAUCUCCCAAGGCUAAAUACUACCUAGUGACCGAUAGUGAACCAGUACCGUGAGGGAAAGGUGAAAAGCACCCCGGGAGGGGAGUGAAAUAGUUCCUGAAACCAUA